AGUGAACGCUGGCGGUAGGCCUAACACAUGCAAGUCGAACGGCAGCACAGUAAGAGCUUGCUCUUACGGGUGGCGAGUGGCGGACGGGUGAGGAAUACAUCGGAAUCUACUUUUUCGUGGGGGAUAACGUAGGGAAACUUACGCUAAUACCGCAUACGACCUACGGGUGAAAGCAGGGGAUCUUCGGACCUUGCGCGAUUGAAUGAGCCGAUGUCGGAUUAGCUAGUUGGCGGGGUAAAGGCCCACCAAGGCGACGAUCCGUAGCUGGUCUGAGAGGAUGAUCAGCCACACUGGAACUGAGACACGGUCCAGACUCCUACGGGAGGCAGCAGUAGGGAAUAUUGGACAAUGGGCGAAAGCCUGAUCCAGCCAUACCGCGUGGGUGAAGAAGGCCUUCGGGUUGUAAAGCCCUUUUGUUGGGAAAGAAAAGCAGCAGGUUAAUACCCCGCUGUUCUGACGGUACCCAAAGAAUAAGCAACGGCUAACUUCGUG
rnacentral:rRNA from 1 species